rnacentral:rRNA from 1 species
AUUGAACGCUGGCGGCAGGCCUAACACAUGCAAGUCGAACGGUAACAGGAAGCAGCUUGCUGCUUUGCUGACGAGUGGCGGACGGGUGAGUAAUGUCUGGGAAACUGCCUGAUGGAGGGGGAUAACUACUGGAAACGGUAGCUACUACCGCAUAACGUCGCAAGACCAAAGAGGGGGACCUUCGGGCCUCUUGCCAUCGGAUGUGCCCAGAUGGGAUUAGCUAGUAGGUGGGGUAAAGGCUCACCUAGGCGACGAUCCCUAGCUGGUCUGAGAGGAUGACCAGCCACACUGGAACUGAGACACGGUCCAGAGUCCUACGGGAGGCAGCAGUGGGGAAUAUUGCACAAUGGGCGCAAGCCUGAUGCAGCCAUGCCGCGUGUAUGAAGAAGGCCUUCGGGUUGUAAAGUACUUUCAGCGGUGAGGAAGGGAUUAAAGUUAAUACCUUGGCUGAUUGACGUUACCCGCAGAAGAAGCACCGGCUAACUCCGUG